CGCAGGCCGACGCUCACCUGUUCGCCCCGAGGCAGAAUUUCCCGCCUCGUCGUGGGAUUCAAAACAAACCUCAGUGUAAACAAUUACCUGUGUUACCUGCGCGGCCCUCGGCGUUACUCGCGUUACCUGCAUGGCCCGUGAUAGCCUUUUUUGGUUACCCACGAGUCCGCCUGUUACCCGCGUUACCUGUGUUGGCCGUGAGUGACUCUGCGUUACCGGUGUUACCUGUGAGUGCCUGUGUUACCUGCGAGUGCCUAUGUGUUACCCUCGCUCACUCGUGCCUUUUACCACACGCCCACAACACGUAAUUCUACCGCCGUAACACCGUCUCAGAGGCCGAAACCCUGGAUUACCGAAAAGGACCAUGUCUGCGCCGGGGGUGAGCCUGUGGGAGGUGGUGGAGGCUCGUGGGGGCCCCCUGAGCGAGAGCGAGACCUGGGCCGUCCUGGCAGCCGCGGCCACCUCCCUCCAGGACACCGCACUCUCAGGUAAGGUUCCCCUUGGGUCUGGACGGCCGGCUAGAGCUUCUGCUGAGCUCCUGCUGUUGCUACUACGCACGGCUCUGCUUUGGCCUUUUGAGGGUGCCGCGUGUCCUUUGGGCGAAGGCGUGUCCUCUUCUCUUGCCUUUCUUUUCGAUCUCUUUUAAAGUCAUAGCUUCAGAGGUAUUGUUACGCACAAAAAAAAGAAACCGCAUCGCCUCCAAUAGGAAUUCAUUCGAAGUCGACGCUCCGAUUGUUCUUUUCGACCUGCCUCCUCCU